rnacentral:rRNA from 1 species
GGGAUGACACCUUAUGAGGCCCUAUACAAACGAAAGCCUAAUGUCGAGCACCUUCGUACAUUUGGGUGUAUAGGGCAUGUGAAGAAAGUUGGACAACACCUCCCAAAGUUGGCCGACCGGAGUAUUGAAAUGGUGUUGAUUGGGUAUGAACCAAAUAGUAAAGCAUACAGACUGUUCGACCCACACAUGAAGAAGCUGUGUGUGUCUCGAGAUGUUGUGUUCGAGGAGGACAAACGCUGGGAAUGGACCACCGACGAUGCUGAGGGGAUCUCGGAGACUUUCUCAGUACAGUAUAAUGUACACCUUGAUGAUGCUUGUCAUGUAGCCCAGCCAAAGCAUACUGUUCACCAUCCGACAAGAACAAGUCUGAAGGAGAACAAGCUGACAGAUGAAGAAAUAGCAGCAGGGCUCAGACCAGAAGACUUUGUUACCCCAGCUAGAAAUGAAGCACCUACUGGACCUCGGUUUGUGUCACCUCCGACCGGUGCCUCGACGCCGACGAGCACCGAGGGACCACGCAGGUAUCGCCUCAUGGAAGAA